rnacentral:rRNA from 1 species
UACGUAGGGUGCAAGCGUUAAUCGGAAUUACUGGGCGUAAAGCGUGCGCAGGCGGUUAUGCAAGACAGAUGUGAAAUCCCCGGGCUCAACCUGGGAACUGCAUUUGUGACUGCAUGGCUAGAGUACGGUAGAGGGGGAUGGAAUUCCGCGUGUAGCAGUGAAAUGCGUAGAUAUGCGGAGGAACACCGAUGGCGAAGGCAAUCCCCGUGGACCUGUACUGACGCUCA